UAUCAAACUUACGUUCGGUGACAAUUGA
rnacentral:sRNA from 1 species